rnacentral:rRNA from 1 species
UGCAAGUCGAACGCUGAACUCCUGAAUCUUCGGAUUUGGGAGCUAGGCGUGGCACACGGGUGAGUAACGCGUGGAUAACCUGCCCACGAGUGGGGAAUAACCCCGGGAAACUGGGGCUAAUACCGCAUAAUCCUUUCCUGACACCGGUCAGGAAAGGCAAAGCCCGCAAGGGCGCUGGUGGAGGGAUCCGCGUCUGAUCAGCUAGUUGGUGAGGUAACGGCUCACCAAGGCAGAGACCGGUAGCCGGUCUGAGAGGACGAUCGGCCACACUGGAACUGAGACACGGUCCAGACUCCUACGGGAGGCAGCAGUGAGGAAUAUUGCGCAAUGGGGGAAACCCUGACGCAGCGACGCCGCGUGGAGGACGACGCCCUUCGGGGUGUAAACUCCUUUCGACGGGGACGAAUGCCCGCAAGGGUUUGACGGUACCCGUAUAAGAAGCCCCGGCUAACUACGUGCCAGCAGCCGCGGUAAUACGUAGGGGGCAAGCGUUGCUCGGAAUUACUGGGCGUAAAGGGUCCGUAGGCGGUGGGGCAUGUCGGUUGUGAAAUCUCCCGGCUUAACUGGGAGGGUGCGAUCGAAACUGUUCCGCUAGAGGGCCGGAGAGGCGAGUGGAAUUGCUGGUGUAGCGGUGAAAUGCGUAGAGAUCAGCAGGAACACCGGAGGCGAAGGCGGCUCGCUGGACGGCACCUGACGCUGAGGGACGAAAGCUAGGGGAGCAAACAGGAUUAGAUACCCUGGUAGUCCUAGCCCUAAACGAUGGUCACUUGCUGUGCCGGACGUAC